rnacentral:tmRNA from 1 species
GUCUUCCUCGUCCUUCGUAGCCUUGUGCGAAGAAGGACAUAAAAACAUUCAAAUCUAAGUGCAAACAAAACUGCACGGGGGGUUCUCUCACCGAUUCAGGUGGGAAAUCUCGGCCUCGUUCUCGCUUAAACUCCUGAACGACCGUUCGCUCGGCUGAUAUCCGAUUCACCGGUGCGAACGUCAUAAACAUCGGGUUCGAUUCUUAUCUCACUCCGGAUAAGAAUCUAAAGAAAGAGAGUCCGGCAAAACGUCAUCUUGUGCAUUCCCUACUCGUUUCGCCUAAACACACAGAAUGCUCUACGCAUCGUAGAAUCGCUUUCACAUCAUUUUCUGGACCGGGGUUCAAUUCCCCGCACCUCCACUC